rnacentral:lncRNA from 1 species
CGGAAAGAGAAACGGCCAGCGCGGCUGCUUCACAGGCGGAAAGAGAAACGGCCAGCGCGGCUGCUUCACAGGCGGAAAGAGAAACGGCCAGCGCAGACGCUUCACAGACGGAAGGAGAAACGGCCGGUCCUGACGCUUCACAGACGGAAAGAGAAACGGCCGGUCCUGACGCUUCACAGACGGAAAGAGAAACGGCCGGUCCUGACGCUUCACAGACGGAAAGAGAAACGGCCAGUGCAGACGCUUCACAGACGAAAAGAGAAACGGCCAGUGCAGACGCUUCACAGACGGAAAGAGAAACGGCCGGUCCUGAUGCUUCACAGACGGAAAGAGAAACGGCCGGUCCUGACGCUUCACAGACGGAAAGAGAAACGGCCGGUCCUGACGCUUCACAGACGGAAAGAGAAACGGCCGGUCCUGACACUUCACAGACGGAAAGAGAAACGGCCAGUCCUGAUGCUUCACAGACUGUGGAAGAAACAGGCAAUACAAAUGCUUCACAGACUAAUGGUGAAACAGACAGCACAGACAUACCUCUGGACAUGGGAGUAGUGGAUGCUGAUGAGAUGGAGGUCAGUGCUAUCAAAGUGGAGGAUGAACAGAUGCAGGACGAGCACAACUUGGAGGGGAUGCCUGUGAUAACUGCUGUGGAACAGGGAAGCGACAUGGACGCGUUUAGCAGCAACUCCCUGGAUCAUGGGGAUGAAGUGGAGAAGAUGGACACCGGGACGGAUGCACUGACAGAGAAGCAAAUAGGGCAGCCCAGUAAGACCGGGCAAGUGGACAACACUGAUUCCAUGCCUUCUAUUGUGGAUACAGAGGACACGGAGCAACCUGCUGAGCAGACCAACUUUGAGGAGGCUAGCGGCUCGUCUCCACCUAUGGAGGAGGACCAUUCUGAAGAUGUCAAACCAUUUCACCCCAGUCCCACCUCUAGCGAAGCUCUUCUCCCACAGAACAGUAAAGGCUCUGACAGUCCUGCAGGGCUGGAGAAUGGAGUGACAGGACAGCCAGUCAAAGUUGUGGAUUCAACCCAGUGUGCCCAGGCGACAGCAGAGCCGGUGUCCACCAGCGUUGACACCCUCUCCAUGGUGAAUGUGAAGGAUGAGCCAGUAGAUGAGGAGUAUGAUCAGGCCCUGGCUCCAGUUGUCCUCACAGAGGGCGUCAAGGAUGAACCAGACGCAGCAGAGGAGUUGAAAAUCAGUAACGUCUUCUCUGUGGGCGGCGCCCCUACCCCAAUCGGUGAGCAGGGCAUUUUGAUAUUUGUACACAUCAGGACACGUUAGUGGUCGCUCAACGGUCAAAGCCCUGAGGCAGUGUUUCCUAAUCAUGGUCAUGGGGACCCAAAUGGGUGCAUAUUUUUGCCCUAG